rnacentral:rRNA from 1 species
AUUGAACGCUGGCGGCAGGCCUAACACAUGCAAGUCGAACGAGUGGCGGACGGGUGAGUAAUGUCUGGGAAACUGCCCGAUGGUGGGGGAUAACUACUGGAAACGGUAGCUAAUACCGCAUACCAUCGGAUGUGCCCCGAUGGGAUUAGCGAGUAGGUGGGGUAACGGCUCACCUAGGCGACGAUCGCUAGCUGGUCUGAGAGGAUGACCAGGCACACUGGAACUGAGACAAGGUCCAGACUCCCACGGGAGGCAGCAGUGGGGAAUAUGGCACAAUGGGCGCAAGCCUGAUGCAGCCAUGCCGCGUGUACGACGAAGGCCUUCGGGUUGUAAAGUACUUUAAGCGAGGAGGCGGUACUCGCAGAAGAAGCACCGGCUAACUCCGUGCCAGCAGCCGCGGUAAUAC